GCUUUUGUUGCUUUUGUCCCACUGGGUUUGCCGCAAUCUGCUACGCCCAUGAGGCUAACAGGAUGGCGAUAUCAGGCAACAUGGACGGUGCAAACAGGUCGUCUAACGCCGCGAGAGUCCUUAUUAUUGCAAGUGUCGUCGUUGGCAUCAUAAUCAUCAUAGUCACGACCGUGCUUCGGUCAGGUGUUAUCUAUUGAAAACUAAAACACAUCAAAAUUAUUUCGAUAUGUUGCAGUGAGC